GCAACUUUUCGGGGAAAAGGCUUCUGGAGUGCAGAGCAGCUUUCAUCAAAACCAGUUCCAUCCCAUUGCUUAUCCCCAGAAGGACUGAAAAAGUGUCUUCAGAUGGCAGGCAUGUGGUUGUAAGGUCGACCACAGUGAGAUGGCGCAGCCCCAGGGUGCGAAAGAUGAUAUACGUGCGUUGCAGCGAGAAGUGGGCUUGGACUGACAUGGCCGAUUUGUUUAUGUAUGGCUCCUGUAAGACAAAGAGAGGAGACACAGGGAGA
rnacentral:lncRNA from 1 species